rnacentral:rRNA from 1 species
UUGCAGGCUGCAACCCGCCUGCAUGAAGCCGGAAUCGCUAGUAAUCGCGGAUCAGAAUGCCGCGGUGAAUACGUUCCCGGGUCUUGUACACACCGCCCGUCACACCAUGGGAGUCGAUAACGCCCGAAGUCAGUGACCCAACCGAAAGGAGGGAGCUGCCGAAGGCGGGAUGGAUAACUGGGGUGAAGUCGUAACAAGGUAUC